GGGCACAUGGUGUAGUUGGUUAUCACAUCCGCUUAGCAUUGAGUCCUUUGAUAGUCGGCUUGCGGGGGGUGCUGGGUUCAAUUCCCAGUGUGUCCA
rfam:Moniliophthora roreri MCA 2997 sctg_0419_0002, whole genome shotgun sequence.